rnacentral:rRNA from 1 species
CCUACGGGAGGCAGCAGUGGGGAAUAUUGCACAAUGGGCGCAAGCCUGAUGCAGCCAUGCCGCGUGUGUGAAGAAGGCCUUCGGGUUGUAAAGCACUUUCAGCGGGGAGGAAGGCGUUAAGGUUAAUAACCUUGGCGAUUGACGGUACCCGCAGAAGAAGCACCGGCUAACUCCGUGCCAGCAGCCGCGGUAAUACGGAGGGUGCAAGCGUUAAUCGGAAUUACUGGGCGUAAAGCGCACGCAGGCGGUCUGUCAAGUCGGAUGUGAAAUCCCCGGGCUCAACCUGGGAACUGCAUUCGAAACUGGCAGGCUAGAGUGCUGUAGAGGGGGGUAGAAUUCCAGGUGUAGCGGUGAAAUGCGUAGAGAUCUGGAGGAAUACCGGUGGCGAAGGCGGCCCCCUGGACAAAGACUGACGCUCAGGUGCGAAAGCGUGGGGAGCAAACAGGAUUAGAUACCCUUGUAGUC